rnacentral:lncRNA from 10 species
GCAUAUUUCCAUUUUACCACUAUGCCAAGCUGUCAUGCAAACGUCAUGAAGUAGGACCUAAGCAGAGAAGGUGCAAAAGAAAAUAAAAUAUAGUGAUGUGAAUGCAGACAAUACUUGCAAUCAGCAACAUAAAUUACGGAUUGUAUUAGGUUGGUGCAAAAGCGAUUGUGGUUUUUGCCAUUGAAAGUAAUAGCAAAAACUGCAAUUUUUCCCACCAACCUAAUAUAUGCCACAAUUCUUUAAUUUCUGUAAUAGUGUAAUGAUUACAUUGUCAUCGCAAUAUGAAACAAAAUCCAAAUUGCAGUCACCACCUUGGGGGACUGUGAGAA